AGCAAUAUGUCAGCGGCAGACGGGUGAGUAACGCGUGGGAAUCUACCCAACCCUAUGGAAUAACGCAUGGAAACGUGUGCUAAUACCAUAUACGCCCCCCUUUAAAAUACCAAGAAUCAUAAAAUGCCUUGGCAUUUUAUGGGGGGGAAAGAUUUAUCCGGGGAUGGAUGAGCCCGCGUUGGAUUAGCUAGUUGGUGGGGUAAAGGCCUACCAAGGCGACGAUCCAUAGCUGGUCUGAGAGGAUGAUCAGCCACAUUGGGACUGAGACACGGCCCAAACUCCUACGGGAGGCAGCAGUGGGGAAUAUUGGACAAUGGGCGCAAGCCUGAUCCAGCCAUGCCGCGUGAGUGAUGAAGGCCCUAGGGUUGUAAAGCUCUUUCACCGGAGAAGAUAAUGACGGUAUCCGGAGAAGAAGCCCCGGCUAACUUCGUGCCAGCCGCCGCGGUAA
rnacentral:rRNA from 1 species